rnacentral:rRNA from 1 species
UGGGUAACCUGCCUCAAAGAGGGGAAUAGCCUCCCGAAAGGGAGAUUAAUACCGCAUAAUAUGUUUAAGUCGCAUGACUUUAACAUCAAAGGAUUUUCUUUUAGAAAAUUCCACUUUGAGAUGGACCCGCGGCGCAUUAGCUAGUUGGUGAGGUAACGGCUCACCAGGCAACGAUGCGUAGCCGACCUGAGAGGGUNAUCGGCACAUUGGAACUGAGACACGGUCCAGACCUCCCGUAGGGAAG